rnacentral:rRNA from 1 species
UACAGAGGGUGCAAGCGUUGUUCGGAAUUACUGGGCGUAAAGCGCGUGUAGGCUGCGGAGUAAGUCGGAUGUGAAAUCCCUUGGCUUAACCAAGGAAGUGCAUCCGAUACUGUUUCGCUUGAGUGUCGGAGGGGAUGGCGGAAUUCCCGGUGUAGAGGUGAAAUUCGUAGAUAUCGGGAGGAACACCUGUGGCGAAGGCGGCCAUCUGGACGACAACUGACGCUGAGACGCGAAAGCGUGGGGAGCGAACAGG